GUCCUUGUUUCCGUGAGCCGAAAUUUUGAAAACUACUGCGAAAAGCUGACAGGAGUUCUGGGUCUAGGAACAUCCGAAAAUUGCUACGGUGUUCAGAGACGCAGACCAGGUAGUUCACUCGGUCUUCCAUCUGUUUUCCGUUAACAGGAGCUGUGACAUGGAAAUAUGGCGGUGUGGGGACCCUAACCUUAUAAGGUGAGACAUCAACCAAAGUGACUGACUGUGCAUACAUUUGAAGUCGGAAGUUUACAUACACUUAGGUUGGAGUCAUUAAAACUAGUUUUUGAACCACUCCAUAAAUGUCUUGUUAGCAAACUAUAGUUUUGGCAAGUCGGUUAGGACAUCUACUUUGUGCAUGACAGAAGUCAUUUUUCCAACAAUUGUUUACAGACAGAUUAUUUCACUUAAUUCACUGUAUCACAAUUCCAGUGGGUCAGAAGUUUACAUACACUACGUUCACUGCCUUCAAACAGCUUGGAAAAUUGUCAUGGCUUUAGAACCUUCUGAUAGGCUAAUUGACAUAAUUUGAGUCAUUUGGAGGUGUACCUGUGGAUGUAUUUCAAGGUCUACUGUCAAACUCAGUGCCUCUGCUUGACAUCAUGGGAAAAUCAAAAGAAAUCAGCCAAAACAUUGUAGACCUCCAAGUCUGGUUCAUCUUUGGGAUCAAUUUCCAAACGCUUGAAGGUACCACCUUCAUCUGUACAAAAAAAUAGUACACUAGUAUUAACACCAUGGGACCACGCAGUCAUCAUACCGAUCAGGAAGGAGACACGUUCUGUCUCCUAGAGAUGAACAUACUUUGGUGCGAAAAGUGCAAAUCAAUCCCAGAACAACAGCAAAAGGACCUUGUGAAGAUGCUGGAGGAAACCGGUACAAAAGUAUCUAUAUCCACAGUAAAACGAGUCCUAUAUCGACAUAACCUGAAAGGCUGCUCAGCAAGGAAGAAGCCACUGCUCCAAAACUGCCAUAAAAAAGCUAGACUACGGUUUGCCACUGCACAUGGGGACAAAGAUCGUACUUUUUGGAGCAAUGUCCUCUGUUCUGAUAAAACAAAACUAGAACUGUUUGGCCAUAAUGAUCGUUAUGUUUGUAGGAAAAAGGGGGAGGCUUGCAAGCCAAAGAACACCAUCCCAACCGUGAAGCACAGGGUGGCAGCAUCAUGUUAUUGGGGUGCUUUGCUGCAGGAGGGACUGGUGCACUUCACAAAAUAGAUGGCAUCACGAGGCAGGAAAAUGAUGUGGAUAUAUUGUAGCAACAUCUCAAGACAUCAGUCAGGAAGUUGAAGUUUGGUCACAUGGGUCUUCCAAAUGGACAAUGACCCCAAGCAUACUUCCAAAGUUGUGGCAAAAUGGCUUGGAGUGGUAUUGGAAGUAUUGGAGUGGCCAUCACAAAGCCCUGACCUCAAUCCGAUUAGAAGAUCCGGGCAGAACUGAAAAAGCGUGUGCGAGCAAGGAGGCCUAGAAACCUGACUCCGUUACACCAGCUCUGUCAGGAGGAAUGUGCCAAAAUUCACCCAGCUUAUUCUGGGAAGCUUGUGGAAGGCUACCCUAAAUGUUUGACCUAAGUUAAACAAUUUAAAGGCAAUGCUACCAAAUACUAAUUGAGUGUUUGUAAACCUCUGACCCACUGGGAAUGUGAUGAAAGAAAUAAAAGCUGAAAUAAAUAAUUCUCUCUACUAUUAUUCUGACAUUUCACAUCUUAAAAUAAAGUGGUGUUCCUAACUGACCUAAGACAUGGACUUUUUUACUAGGAUUAAACUGAGUUUAAAAACGGAGUUUAAAUGUAUUUGGCUAAGGUGUAUGUAAACUUCCGACUUCAACUGUACAUACACCUUCAUGCUGAGGAUCAACGAAGGAGGAUCAUACCAGAAGGACCUGAGCCCUAGGACCAUGCCUCAGGACUACCUGACAUGAUGACUCCUUGCUGUCCCCAGUCCACCUGGCCGUGCUGCUGCUCCAGUUUCAACUGUUCUGUCUGUGAUUAUUUUUAUUUGACCAUGCUGGUCAUUUAUGAACAUUUGAACAUCUUGGCCAUGUUCUGUUAUAAUCUCCACCCGGCACAGCCAGAAGAGGACUGGCCACCCCACAUAGCCUGGUUCCUCUAGGUUUCUUCCUAGGUUUUGGCCUUUCUAGGGAGUUUUUCCUAGCCACCGUGCUUCUACACCUGCAUUGCUUGCUGUUUGGGGUUUUAGGCUGGGUUUCUGUACAGCACUUUGAGAUAUCAGCUGAUGUACGAAGGGCUAUAUAAAUACAUUUGAUUUGAUUUGAAUACAAAGAGAAAAAAAAGUAAAAAGAACACAUUUGGUUUCAGAAUGUAUUAAAACCAGUUAUGAGGCAUUUCCCUUUGAUUUAAAGGGAUAAUCCACCCCAGAAAUAAAAAUCACGACACUCCUGUCAAUUUGGUGAAAUCUUCUGUUCUAUCAGUGGUUAAAUGAAACAUUUUCCCCAUGAUUUAAAUUCUAAGUGGUCCAUCUGUGAAAUCAUGUAGGAACAUGUCAUAGUUACAUGGUUCUCGUCACUGGUGAUAUGGUAUAGUGUGUUAUCCCCUUUCAUAAAGCUUUUAAAACAAUUACCUGCACUCCAGAUUGACAAAUCAGUUAAUAGAUGAUAUGGGCAUACUCGUCUAGAACUCCGUUUAUAUUGUUAUGACAAUGUUUAUUUUUCGCUUAGAUGUGCUCAAGCUAAACAGUGUAGCAAAUGAUUCAACUCAGUUUUUCCUUCAAGUAUCAUCUCGCAAUGCUCCCUGUGUAUUUGUGGGAAACGUCUGUUGUUGCCAUAGCAACAUACGCUGCACUUGCUCUGGGCAGAGAAUUGCUAAUUGAACUCGGUGAGAGAGACUCCUAAAUUGAUAGUGCAGUUUGUUUAGCUACUUCACAUGCUAAUAUUGACAUUGGUAUUAUUGUGUGCAGCCAGCCCAGAGAGCAUGGCAUUGUGGGUUUAGUAGUUGACUUGAGCUGCAACAGAUCUCCACAACGAUUUUUACAUGCUGCUACCAACCUUGUUAUAAACACAAAAUGAAACAUUUGUUUACCCAAAAAUAUUGUUCACAUACAGUUGAAGUCGGAAGUUUACAUACACCUUAGCCAAAUAUAUUUAAACUCAGUUUAAUCCUAGUAAAAAUUCCCUGUCUUAGGUCAGUUAGGAUCACCACUUUAUUUUAAGAUGUGAAAUGUCAGAAUAAUAGUAGAGAGUGAUUUAUUUCAGCUUUUAUUUCUUUCAUCACAUUCCCAGUGGGUCAGAAGUUUAGAUACACUCAAGUAGUAUUUGGUAGCAUUGCCUUUAAAUUGUUUAACUUGGGUCAAACAUUUAGGGUAGCCUUCCACAAGCUUCCCACAAUAAGCUGGGUGAAUUUUGGCACAUUCCUCCUGACAGAGCUUGUGUAACUGAGUCAGGUUUCUAGGCCUCCUUGCUCGCACACGCUUUUUCAGUUCUGCCCACAUCUUCUAUCGGAUUGAGGUCAGGGCUUUGUGAUGGCCACUCCAAUACCUUGACUUUGUUGUCCUUAAGCCAUUUUGCCACAACUUUGGAAAUAUGCUUGUGGUCAUUGUCCAUUUGGAAGACCUGUUUGCGACCAAGCUUUAACUUCCUGACUGAUGUCUUGAGAUAUUGCUUCAAUAUAUCCACAUAAUUUUCCUCCCUCAUGAUGCCAUCGAUUUUGUGAAGUGCACCAGUCCCCCCCGUGCUUCAUGUUUGGGAUGGUGUUCUUCUGCUUGCAAGCCUCCCCCUUUUUCCUCCAAACAUAACAAUGGUAAUUUUAGGACAUUUCUCCAAAAAGUACGAUCUUUGUCCCCAUGUGCAGUUGCAAACCGUAGUCUGGCUUUUUUAUGCCGGUUUUGGAGCAGUAGCUUCUUCCUUGCUGAGCGGCCUUUCAGGUUGUUGAUAUAGGACUCGUUUUACUGUGGAUAUAGAUACUUUUGUACCGGUUUCCUCCAGCAUCUUCACAAGGUCCUUUGAUGUUGUUCUGGGAUUGAUUUGCACUUUUCGCACCAAAGUAAGUUCAUCUCUAGGAGACAGAAUGCAUCUCCUUCCUGAGCGGUGUGAUGGCUGUGUGGUCCCAUGGUGUUUAUACUUGCGUACUAUUGUUUGUACAGAUGAAGGUGGUACCUUUUAGGCAUUUGGAAAUUGCUCCCAAGGAUGUACCAGACUUUUGGAGGUCUACAAUUUUUUUCCUGAGGUCUUGGCUGAUUACUUUUGAUUUUCCCAUGAUGUCAAGUAAAGAGGCACUACGUUUGAAGGUAGGCCUUGAGAUACAGGUACACCUCCAAUUGACUCAAAUAUGUCAAUUAGCCUAUCAGAAGCUUCCAAAGCCAUGAUGUAAUUUUCUGGAAUUUUCCAAGCUUUCCAGGCACAGUCAACUUAGUGUAUGUAAACUUCUGAUCCACUGGAAUUGUGAUUCAGUGAAUUAAAAGUUAAAUAAUCUGUCUGUAAACAAUUGUUGGAAAAAUGACUUGUGUCAUGCACAUAGUAGCUGUCCUAACCGACUUGCCAAAACUAUAGUUUAACAAGAAAUUUGUGGAGUGGUUGAAAAACGAGUUUUAAUGACUCCAACCUAAGUAUGUAAAUUUCUGACUUCAACUGUAUAUGUUCUUUAACACAGUUAAUUAUAGGAAUUAGAGGUUUGGAGUGGAUUAUCCCUUUAAUAAAUGGCUUUAUUAUAAAAAAAAAAGAUAUUAUUUGUUUUAUUUUGUAUUAUUAAUAGAUUUACCUUGAAAUGGGUGUUUAAUCAUAUGCAAACAAAUAUCUAUGGAGCAAGCAAUGUGAUAAACAAACAUUGAUUGACUAUAUUAUAUUAAUGAAUUGACUAAAAUUGGUAUCCUACCUUCCUUCUGAUAUCUGUGAACUGGGAGAAGAGUAGGGACAGGUAGAACGACAACUCCAGUAUAUAGUAAUAGUGGAUGUCCACCGUCAGUGGCUGUGAAAACACACACACACACACACACACACACAUCAGUACAGCUGGAUCAAAACUAUGUCCUUUCAAAUACAAUAACUGUUGUAGCUAAGUGAAAAGAAUUAACAGGGAAAACAUUGGAGAAUUUUCUCAUGAUCAAAACAUUACCUGAUAAGGAUAGUCGUACCAGCACUCUCUUGUGUUCCAUAACCAUGGUGUCUGCAGACACACACAAAAAUGAACAGAAUAUUAAAUGUAUUGUUAUGCUGUUUCCCAAAAAAUGUAUUACAUUCAUAAAGUGCUAUUGAUCGCCA